rnacentral:rRNA from 1 species
CGUAGGGACCAAGCGUUGUUCGGAUUUACUGGGCGUAAAGGGCGCGUAGGCGGCAAUUCAAGUCAUCUGUGAAAUCUCCGGGCUUAACCCGGAACGGUCAGAUGAUACUGCUUUGCUAGAGUGCGGAAGGGGCAAUCGGAAUUCUUGGUGUAGCGGUGAAAUGCGUAGAUAUCAAGAGGAACACCUGAGGUGAAGACGGGUUGCUGGGCCGACACUGACGCUGAUAGCGCGAAAGCCAGGGGAGCAAACGGGAUUAGAUACCCCGGUAGUCCUGGCCCUAAACGAUGAAUACUUGGUGUCUGGAGUUAUUAGUGCUCCGGGUGCCGUCGCUAACGUUUUUUAGUAUUCCGCCUGGGGAGUACGCUCGCAAGAGUG